rfam:Schistosoma haematobium scaffold1310_1, whole genome shotgun sequence.
AUCUAGCUGACGAGUCCCAAUAGGACGAAACGCGCGUCGUGAAU